rnacentral:lncRNA from 10 species
CGAUUUAUUAAGUAAUUGCAGUGGUUGUCAUUGAAAGUAAUGCGCCAACCCAAUAUUUUAAAUGGACAGUAUAUACUUAGGAGAAAUACUUUAAACAAAAGCAUGGCUGUAAACCUUUUUACUGAAACAGUUUUUAAUAUAAGUGUCCUUUUUAGUGGUUUGGAAAAAUGACUAUACUUUUUUUUUUUUAAUGGGAAAUCUACAAGUAAAAAUAUUAACAAAAAUAAAAGAAAAUGCUCUAUAAUGGAUAUUCUACUCAGCACACAGGAUCGCAUGAGACUGUCUUUGCUUUUAUUUAACAAGAGGCGAAAUGAGUAUAUGCUGUAAUUCUGCACCUGUUCUAUGUAUCUUGCCUGCGGGGAGAUACUCUCUAUAAAACUAUGCACUCCAUAGCUCCUGUGAUGAACAGCAUUCAAAUUCUGCCUGUUAUGAGGUGUAAUUCAAUAAGCACCUUUUGCUGAGCAGCUCUUUGCAGGAUACGUGAAGGGCUGAGCUAAGAAUAAAAGCCCUUUUGGCAAUCUGAUACUUCGCCUUCUCUUCCACUCAGUUCUCAGUCGAUCUCACCAUCAGAUACCCUGCCAAAGGCAUCACUCUCUCACCAGUCACUUGCUCACAUAUUUAUGCCAGUAACAGUGCUGGGUGGGGAAAUAUGAUGGUAAAGUACAAUCCUAUUUUAAGUUUCUUAUCUACCACUUAGGAAGGGUCCCCAGAUGGCAAGCUAGCUAAAAUUAUUAUUAUGCUACUGAGGAAAAAAAAAAUAGAUGACUCCUCUGUGGAAUCUUACCAGCUCACAGUGAGUGAGGCUAGUCUUACGUUAAAAAAACCAACUCAAGAUUAUCAAAAGAAUGUCAUCAAACUCAAAAAAAAACUACUAUAUUAAUAAUAUAACUUUUUUCCACUGUGACCUAUGUCACCCAUAAAACAAAGCUCCUGUUUUUAGAUUUAACCAAAUUCCUUAAUUCUUUAAUUUAUUAUAACAAAUAUAUAACAAGUAUAAUAGUACUUUUUUUACUUCACAGAAAUAUUUGUUGUAAAAGUGAGAAACAUUAAGAAUUAUAUAAAAUAGAAAAAGAAAACCUCUUGUAAUCUCAUCUCUCUAAAAUUAAUUAUUGUCUAAAAUUUGGUAUAUCUGUCCAUGUAUUUUCUAUAAAUAUUACAUGUAUUAUUAUUAUAUAAAUAUUUUGAAAAACAAACCCAGGAUCAUUUUAUAUCAAUUUCUUUGUAGUUUUAUAUCAAUUUCUUAGCACUUUUAUAUCAAUUUCUUUGUAGCAGUUUUGUUCAUUCAAUAUUGACUGGGUGCCUGCUAUGCAUUAAACACUAUUUUACGGCUUCCGCCCUGUCUGGGACGUGAGGAGUGUCUCUGCCCGACCGCCGCCCCAUCUGGGAAGUGAGGAGCGCCUCUGCCCGGCCGCCCCACCGUCUGGGAAGUGAGGAGCGCCUCUUACUGGCCACCCCGUCUGGGAAGUGAGGAGCGCCUCUGCCUGGCUGCCGCCCCAUCUGGGAAGUAAGGAGCGCCUCUGCCAGGCCGCCCCACCGUCUGGGAAGUGAGGAGCGCCUCUUACCGGCUGCCCCGUCUGGGAAGUGAGGCGCGCCUCUGCCCGGCCGCUGUGCAACCUUCCAAGUGUGAAGUGACAGCCUUGUGUGUGAUCUUUUCUGUCUUCCCCAAGUUUGCAUUUUCAACAUUAAACUUUACUUUUUAGUUAAAAAAACAAAACAAAACAAAACACUAUUUUAGGUGCUGGGAAUAUAGCAGUGAACAAAGCACAGAACUCUGCCUUCAUGGAGCUUGCAUUCCAGCAGGAAGAUCGAGACAAGAAACAAUACAUGUAACAGAUAAGCAAUUCACGAGGUUUAUUAGAAGGUGAGAAGUAUAUUGAAAAAUGAAAAAGCAGAACAAGGUGAGGAACUUCAGUUGUGGGCAGAAGGGAAGCAGGUUGCAGAAGGAAACAUGAGUGCAGCAGGUGAGGCAGGUGACAUUGUCUUUCCAAAAACUGGAUUUUACAUAUUUGAAUAGUUCUUCCAAUAAUCAUUCACGGUGUCUUAUCUUUCGAGUAGCAUUUCUUUUUUUUUUUUUUUUGAGACACGGUCUCACUCUCACCCACUCCCUCUGUCUCACGGUGUCACUCUGUCAUUCCACCCAGGCUGGAGCGCAGUGGUGCAAUCACGACUCAUUGCAGCCUCAACCUCCUGGGCUCAAGCAAUCCUCCCACCUCAGCCUCCUGAGUAUCUGGUACUACAGGAAUGUGCCACCAUGCCUGGCUAAUUUUUAUUUUUUGUAGAGAUGAGGUUUCACUGUGUUGUCCAGGCUGGUCUUGACCUCUUGGGCUCAAGUGAUCCUCCCACCUUGGCCUCUCAAAGUGCUGGGAUUAUAGGUGUGAGCCACUGUGCCUGGCCUGAAGUGCUAUUUCUUUAACAGCUGCUUUUGGUAUCAAUACCCUGUUGGUUAUUAGUUUAAAAUUUUAGUCAAUGAUGCUUUUUGGGUGGGUGUGAAGGGGGAAGAAAAUCUUGAGCAUGUAAUGACUUAAAUUGUUUCCCAAAUCAAAUUAAAUUCUGGGCCAGUAUAAGACCUACACACUCACAUUUCACAAGUGAGGGCAUGGAUGGGGGUAGGGGCAGGCAGGGAAAGGAGAAAAGAGGACAAUCAGCACCCCUGAGGGGCUGAACAUAGGGGGCAUCCAAAACGUGCUUGCUGUGGGAAGAAUGGCCUCAGGAAAUCCUGACCCAAAUCCUGCACACAGUGUGGGCAGAUCUCACCUAUUCUGUUAAAGGGUCCAAUCAUUUUUUGUUUUAACCUGAAGGAUUUAAAUUGAAGUAGCAUAGGUAUAACUUAUGAAGUAUUCAAAGUGUCCUAGCUUACUCACUCUCUCAUUUUUUUAAUUUUUAAUACCGUUAGCUGUUUUUUAAUAACUGGCACUCAGAUAGUGUAUAAUUAUUCUACUAUACAUGUCUCCGGGAAAAAAAAAUUCUUUCUCCAUGUGGCGAGGCAAGGAAGUCUUCGUGUUCCACCACCGCAGGCUGUUUGGCAGGAGUGGUCUGUUUAAUGAUCUCCCCCAGCUGUGCUCACUGAGUCAGUGAGCUCUGCAUCUGCCUCUCUGUCUGCAUGUUGUCUGGGCUGUGAUCCAUGUGAGGAGUGCAGAUUAGUGGGGAGGAUAAACAGCAUCACUUCAAUGAGACGGUGGAGCCAGAGGCCUGUUUUUUAUCUUAUGAUGGUGUGCAAGCUUCUCUCUAGCAACGUAAGUUCACUUUUUAUGUCUUUUCCUAAGAGGGCUAUUUUUUCCAACAUAAGUUAUAAGUGGGCAACAUAUAAAGCAAGGCUGGCACCUCAUAUUGGGGUACUCCAGACACCACCAGGUAAGAAACUGGAUCAUUAGUACUAGUUAAAAUGUUUAAAGAUCAUAACCUUUGACUAGUAGUCCCACGUUCAGAAAUUUAUUCUUCAGAAAUAAAAGCAUCAGCAGAAGUGAACAUGCUUAUGAGGGUAUUUACUGCAGCAUUUUUUGUAGUGGCAAAAACCAACAAGGAACAAAACAAAACAACAUCCCCCUGCCCCACUAAAUAAAACAAACAAAACAACCUGAAUGUCCAUCAACAGGGGAAAUACUGAACCAGCUAUGAUAUACUAUGAGGUAUCAGGCAGGAUACCUCAUAGUAGGAGAAAAUGAAUUAGAAUUAGACCUAUUAUCCUGAAGAGAAGUCAUAAAUGUCAUUGUUUUUUAAAGCACUCUGCUGAGUAACAGGUAUCGUAUGGUAAAAAUUUCUGGAAAAAGUCCAUUAUGUGUAUAUGUGUAAGCUUUGGUUUGGCAUGCCCAAAGGCACAGAAGGCUGCAUACUUUGUUCACAUUGGUUACCGUGGGGAGUUUACAUUUUUUUUUAAUCCAAAAUCUCUGAAUUGUUUGACUUGUUACAACGAAUAUAUUUUACUUUUCUAACAGAAACAAAUCCAAUAAAAUAAAUUCAAUCAUAAGGAAAAAGUUACAAGAUUAAGCUGAGUUAACACCUCUGCCAAACAAACCAGAACAAAACCACUUAAAAAUAAGAGAACAAAAGAAACUUCUGGUUUCUUUUGUUGCUUUUUCAAGGCAAUAAUGGCCAUAAAAUUUUCCAUAAAGUAACUAGAAAAAUAAAAACUCUUUUUCUGGGGUUCAAUUUAAAAGGAAAUAAUGCAGAUAUAAAAUUUUGAAUUUAUCUAAUUUAGG